rnacentral:tRNA from 1 species
GGUUUCUUGGCGCAGUUGGUUAGCGCGUCUCCUUAACAAUUCUGAUCAUUCAGAUCGUUAGGGCUUACGGAGGAGGUCGCCGGUUCGAACCCGGCAGAAAUCA